AAACGACUCUCGGCAACGGAUAUCUCGGCUCUYGCAUCGAUGAARAACGUAGCAAACUGCGAUACUUGGUGUGAAUUGCAGAAUCCCGUGAACCAUCGAGUCUUUGAACGCAAGUUGCGCCUGAAGCCAUUAGGCCGAGGGCACGUCUGCCUGGGCGUCACGC
rnacentral:rRNA from 1 species